rnacentral:rRNA from 1 species
GCACAAGCGGUGGAGCAUGUGGUUCAAUUCGACGCAACGCGAAGAACCUUACCCAGGCUCGAACGGCAGAUGACGUCUCACGAAAGUGGGUUUCCGCAAGGACAUCUGUCGAGGUGCUGCAUGGCUGUCGUCAGCUCGUGUCGUGAGAUGUUGGGUUAAGUCCCGCAACGAGCGCAACCCUCGCCCUUAGUUGCCAUCAUUUAGUUGGGCACUCUAAGGGGACUGCCGGUGAUAAGCCGGAGGAAGGUGGGGAUGACGUCAAGUCCUCAUGGCCCUUACAGGCUGGGCUACACACGUGCUACAAUGGCGGUGACAGUGGGAUGCAAUGGAGCAAUCCUGCGCAAAUCUCCAAAAGCCGUCUCAGUUCGGAUUGUGCUCUGCAACUCGAGCACAUGAAGUUGGAAUCGCUAGUAAUCGUGGAUCAGCACGCCACGGUGAAUACGUUCCCGGGC